rnacentral:rRNA from 1 species
GUCCCAGUUCGGAUUGUAGUCUGCAACCCGACUACAUGAAGCUGGAAUCGCUAGUAAUCGCGAAUCAGCAUGUCGCGGUGAAUACGUUCCCGGGUCUUGUACACACCGCCCGUCACACCAUGGGAGUUGGCAACGCCCGAAGCCAGUGACCCAACCGAGAGGAGGGAGCUGUCGAAGGCGGGGCCGGUAACUGGGGUGAAGUCGUAACAAGGUAGC